rnacentral:rRNA from 1 species
AAGCGCAACCCUUGUCCUUAGUUACCAGCACGUUAUGGUGGGCACUCUAAGGAGACUGCCGGUGACGAACCGGAGGAAGGUGGGGAUGACGUCAAGUCAUCAUGGGCCCUUACGGCCUGGGCUACACACGUGCUACAAUGGUCGGUACAAAGGGUUGCCAAGCCGCGAGGUGGAGCUAAUCCCAUAAAACCGAUCGUAGUCCGGAUCGCAGUCUGCAACUCGACUGCGUGAAGUCGGAAUCGCUAGUAAUCGUGAAUCAGAAUGUCACGGUGAAUACGUUCCCGGGCCUU